GUGAACGCUGGCGGUAGGCCUAACACAUGCCAGUCGAACGGCAGCACCGUAAGAGCUUGCUCUUACGGGUGGCGAGUGGCGGACGGGUGAGGAAUACAUCGGCAUCUACUUUUUCGUGGGGGAUAACGUAGGGAAACUUACGCUAAUACCGCAUACGACCUACGGGUGAAAGCAGGGGAUCUUCGGACCUUGCGCGAUUGAAUGAGCCGAUGUCGGAUUAGCUAGUUGGCGGGGUAAAGGCCCACCAAGGCGACGAUCCGUAGCUGGUCUGAGAGGAUGAUCAGCCACACUGGAACUGAGACACGGUCCAGACUCCUACGGGAGGCAGCAGUGGGGAAUAUUGGACAAUGGGCGCAAGCCUGAUCCAGCCAUACCGCGUGGGUGAAGAAGGCCUUCGGGUUGUAAAGCCCUUUUGUUGGGAAAGAAAAGCAGCAGGUUAAUACCCCGCUGUUCUGACGGUACCCAAAGAAUAAGCACCGGCUAACUUCGUG
rnacentral:rRNA from 1 species